rnacentral:rRNA from 1 species
UUGUGAGGUUAAGCGACUAAGCGUACACGGUGGAUGCCCUGGCAGUCAGAGGCGAUGAAGGACGUGCUAAUCUGCGAUAAGCGUCGGUGAGGUGAUAUGAACCGUUAUAACCGGCGAUUUCCGAAUGGGGAAACCCAGUGUGUUUCGACACACUAUCAUUAACUGAAUCCAUAGGUUAAUGAGGCGAACCGGGGGAACUGAAACAUCUAAGUACCCCGAGGAAAAGAAAUCAACCGAGAUUCCCCCAGUAGCGGCGAGCGAACGGGGAGGAGCCCAGAGCCUGAAUCAGUGUGUGUGUUAGUGGAAGCGUCUGGAAAGGCGCGCGAUACAGGGUGACAGCCCCGUACACAAAAAUGCACAUAUUGUGAGCUCGAUGAGUAGGGCGGGACACGUGGUAUCCUGUCUGAAUAUGGGGGGACCAUCCUCCAAGGCUAAAUACUCCUGACUGACCGAUAGUGAACCAGUACCGUGAGGGAAAGGCGAAAAGAACCCCGGCGAGGGGAGUGAAAAAGAACCUGAAACCGUGUACGUACAAGCAGUGGGAGCCUCUUAAUGGGGUGACUGCGUACCUUUUGUAUAAUGGGUCAGCGACUUAUAUUCUGUAGCAAGGUUAACCGAAUAGGGGAGCCGAAGGGAAACCGAGUCUUAACUGGGCGUUAAGUUGCAGGGUAUAGACCCGAAACCCGGUGAUCUAGCCAUGGGCAGGUUGAAGGUUGGGUAACACUAACUGGAGGACCGAACCGACUAAUGUUGAAAAAUUAGCGGAUGACUUGUGGCUGGGGGUGAAAGGCCAAUCAAACCGGGAGAUAGCUGGUUCUCCCCGAAAGCUAUUUAGGUAGCGCCUCGUGAAUUCAUCUCCGGGGGUAGAGCACUGUUUCGGCAAGGGGGUCAUCCCGACUUACCAACCCGAUGCAAACUGCGAAUACCGGAGAAUGUUAUCACGGGAGACACACGGCGGGUGCUAACGUCCGUCGUGAAGAGGGAAACAACCCAGACCGCCAGCUAAGGUCCCAAAGUCAUGGUUAAGUGGGAAACGAUGUGGGAAGGCCCAGACAGCCAGGAUGUUGGCUUAGAAGCAGCCAUCAUUUAAAGAAAGCGUAAUAGCUCACUGGUCGAGUCGGCCUGCGCGGAAGAUGUAACGGGGCUAAACCAUGCACCGAAGCUGCGGCAGCGACGCUUAUGCGUUGUUGGGUAGGGGAGCGUUCUGUAAGCCUGUGAAGGUGUGCUGUGAGGCAUGCUGGAGGUAUCAGAAGUGCGAAUGCUGACAUAAGUAACGAUAAAGCGGGUGAAAAGCCCGCUCGCCGGAAGACCAAGGGUUCCUGUCCAACGUUAAUCGGGGCAGGGU